GUUUAUUAACAGGUUUUACAGAAGCAGACAGAGAUAUGGUGAGUGUUCAAACAUAUGAUAGUUAGAUGGGAACUUAGCUGAUGGAUAAUAAGAGUCUCUGUUGCAGAUGCAGAUGGAAGAUCACAUGGAAGGGUUGUAGAGGGAUGGCUGAAGACUGAAGAUGGUAUACGAAGGCCAGGGGUUGAAGAGAAUACAAAGGAGGCCAGCUCUUGACGUGUGAGAAGAGGAACGAAGAUGGCAACGAGGUCUACCCCAAGGCCUGGGAGUAGCAAUCAGGAUGUUCGGCGUGGAACUGAGUGAGGAGAGCUGGAUCCAGGAUGUCCUCGCGAGGAACUCAUGACCACUCCUCUGGACCAUAGUCCUCCCAGUCGACCAGAUAUUCUAGCCGUGGACUUCGUGAGUCCAAGAUGGUGUGGACCUGGUAGGUGGGCUCCUCUUCAGUGGGAACCAAGGAUGAGCUCAGCAGUGGACUCCUCCAGCACCAUAAAGGAGAUAUCCUGUAAAUCCAAGGUAAACAGGACAGCACAGCACAAACACAACGUGUCUUCGAUGAAAAACACAGGAGUAGGCUACUGAAGUCUACGAUUCUUUGUUUUUGAGGUGAUGGGGUGUUUUCAGGUCUGUAUUCCUCCACGUGGAUGAUUUGCAUGUCAAUCGUUCGUCUGCGCGUGGGUUUGGUCACAUUAGAGCUAAUGAGCACGGACUUAAGAAGCUGUACAUGUCGUUGCUUUCAUACGGAUUACUUAAACAGAGAAUAUUUGUUUUUGAUAUAAUGGACAUAA